GUCAAGAAAAGUCUCUAUCGAGGUUAAAGGUACCCGUACCGCAAACCGACACAGGUGGGUGAGGAGAGUAUCCUAAGGCCAGCGAGAGAACUGUUGUUAAGGAACUCGGCAAAAUGACCCCGUAACUUAGGGAUAAGGGGUGCCACCAUCAGGUGGCCGCAGAGAAUAGGCCCAAGCGACUGUUUACCAAAAACAUAGGUUUCUGCUAAGUCGCAAGACGAUGUAUAGGAGCUGACGCCUGCCCGGUGCUGGAAGGUUAAGGGGAUCUGUUAGAGCAAUCGAAGCAGUGAACUUAAGCCCCAGUAAACGGCGGCCGUAACUAUAACGGUCCUAAGGUAGCGAAAUUCCUUGUCGGGUAAGUUCCGACCCGCACGAAAGGCGUAACGAUUUGGGCACUGUCUCAACAACAGACUCGGUGAAAUUGUAAUUCCGGUGAAGAUGCCGGAUACCUGCGACAGGACGGAAAGACCCCAUGGAGCUUUACUGUAGCUUGACAUUGGGUCUUGGUACUACAUGUACAGGAUAGGUGGGAGGCUUUGAAACCAGGACGCCAGUUUUGGCGGAGCCAUCCUUGGGAUACCACCCUUGUAGUACUGGGACUCUAACCAUAGGCCAUGAAUCUGGUCUUGGGACACUGUCAGGUGGGCAGUUUGACUGGGGCGGUCGCCUCCCAAAAGGUAACGGAGGCGCUCAAAGGUUCUCUCAGUACGGUCGGAAAUCGUACGUAGAGUGUAAAGGCAAAAGAGAGCUUGAUUGCAAGACAUACAGGUCGAGCAAGGAUGAAAAUCGGACUUAGUGAUCCGGUGGUUCUGCGUGGAAGGGCCAUCGCUCAACGGAUAAAAGCUACCCUGGGGAUAACAGGCUUAUCUCCCCCAAGAGUCCACAUCGACGGGGAGGUUUGGCACCUCGAUGUCGGCUCAUCACAUCCUGGGGCUGUAGUAGGUCCCAAGGGUUGGGCUGUUCGCCCAUUAAAGUGGUACGCGAGCUGGGUUCAGAACGUCGUGAGACAGUUCGGUCCCUAUCCGUCGCAGGCGUAGGAAAUUUGAGAAGACCUGUCCUUAGUACGAGAGGACCGGGAUGGACGUACCUCUGGUGUACCAGUUGUCCUGCCAAGGGCAUGGCUGGGUAGCUAUGUACGGAAUGGAUAAGCGCUGAAAGCAUCUAAGCGCGAAGCCAACUUCAAGAUAAGAUUUCCCACCGCAAGGGUAAGACCCCAGAAAGACUAUCUGGUUGAUAGGUCGAAGGUGUAAGUGCAGCAAUGUAUUUAGCUUAUCGAUACUAAUAGGUCGAGGACUUGACCAA
rnacentral:rRNA from 1 species